rnacentral:ncRNA from 10 species
GACGUUCAUUUUAGUAGCAAUACUAAAACGGAAGUAGACGAAAGUCGAAGGAACGCAUG